CUAGGAGACCACAGGAGACUCCCAAUAAGACAACCUCUCAAAGUAACCAGGUCUGCACUGUUUUCAAAUUCAACCAGGUCAAACACCCAGUCCCACAUUUACAUCUUUGAGCUUCUAAGAGUGGACAAUAGCGCAUCACGCCAAGAUUUCUAUCAUCCGCUAUUCCUGAGUGCUGCCAUUUGUGAUUUGAGAGCUCUAAGAUGGUCCUCCAAGUAGCUUCAGUCAAGUCUGAGAAGCAGAUGAUAUCCAACCCAUGGCAAACCUACCUAGAGCUGUGCCGUCCAACGUGGUAUCCGCUAGGCACAUGCGGCUAUUGAGUGCUUGAAACGUGGCUGGUCCAAAUUGAGGUUUGCUGUAAGUAUAACACACAAACUGGAUUUUAAAGACAUAGCAUGACAAAAAAAAAGUCAAAUAUAUUGUUAAUAAUUCUUGUAUUGAUUACAUGUUGAAAUCACAUAUUAUAGAUAUACUGGGC
rnacentral:lncRNA from 1 species